GAUGAACGCUGGCGGCGUGCCUAAUACAUGCAAGUCGAGCGGUAAGGCCUCUUCGGAGGUACACGAGCGGCGGACGGCUGAGUAACGCGUAGGAACAUACCCCAAACUGAGGGAUAACUGCUCGAAAGAGUAGCUAAUACCGCAUGUGCUCUUCGGAGUAAAGCUUCGGCGGUUUGGGAAUGGCCUGCGUAAGAUUAGCUUGUUGGUGAGGUAAUGGCUCACCAAGGCGACGAUCUUUAGCUGGUCUGAGAGGAUGAUCAGCCAGACUGGGACUGAGACACGGCCCAGACUCCUACGGGAGGCAGCAGUAGGGAAUUUUCCACAAUGGGGGCAACCCUGAUGGAGCAACGCCGCGUGCAGGAUGAAUGCCUUCGGGUUGUAAACUGCUUUUAUAUGUGAAGAUUAUGACGGUAGCAUAUGAAUAAGGAUCGGCUAACUCCGUGCCAGCCGCCGCCGUAA
rnacentral:rRNA from 1 species